AAGAUAUUAGGUUGGUGCAAAAGUAACUGCAGUUUUUGCCAUUACUUUUAAUGGUAAAAACUGCAAUUACUUUUGCACAAAUCUAAUAUUUA
rnacentral:miRNA from 1 species